rnacentral:rRNA from 1 species
GUGGGGAAUAUUGGACAAUGGGCGAAAGCCUGAUCCAGCCAUGCCGCGUGUGUGAAGAAGGUCUUCGGAUUGUAAAGCACUUUAAGUUGGGAGGAAGGGUAGUAACCUAAUACGUUGCUACUUUGACGUUACCGACAGAAUAAGCACCGGCUAACUUCGUGCCAGCAGCCGCGGUAAUACGAAGGGUGCAAGCGUUAAUCGGAAUUACUGGGCGUAAAGCGCGCGUAGGUGGUUCAGUAAGUUGGAAGUGAAAACCCCGGGCUCAACCUGGGAACUGCUUGCAAAACUGCUGAGCUAGAGUACGGUAGAGGGUGGUGGAAUUUCCUGUGUAGCGGUGAAAUGCGUAGAUAUAGGAAGGAACACCAGUGGCGAAGGCGACCACCUGGACUGAUACUGACACUGAGGUGCGAAAGCGUGGGGAGCAAACAGGAUUAGAAACCCGUGUAGUCC